rnacentral:rRNA from 1 species
ACGGGUGAGUAACGCGUGAGAAUCUGCCCUUCAAUGGAGAAUACCUCCGAGAAAUCGGAGUUAAUACUGCAUACGUCCCUUCGGGGAGAAAGAUGGCCUCUUUGCUGUCGUUGAAGGAUGAGCUUACGUACUAUUAGCUAGUUGGUAGGGUAAAGGCCUACCAAGGCGAUGAUGGUUAGCCGGCCUGAGAGGGUGUUCGGCCACACUGGAACUUAGACACGGUCCAGACUCCUACGGGAGGCAGCAGUGAGGAAUCUUGCGCAAUGGGCGAAAGCCUGACGCAGCGACGCCGCGUGGAGGAUGAAGGUCUUCGGAUUGUAAACUUCUGUUAAGUGGGAAGAAAAGCGCAGUUCUAAUACAGCUGUGAAAUGACGGUACCAUUAAAGAAAGCACCGGCUAACUUCGUGCCAGCAGCCGCGGUAAUACGAAGGGUGCAAGCGUUAUUCGGAUUGAUUGGGCGUAAAGGGUGCGCAGACGGCGCGCUAAGUCAACUGUUAAAUUUCCUGGCCCAACUAGGAGCUCGCAGUAGAUACUGGCAUGCUUGAGGAUGGAAGAGAGAAGUGGAAUUCUCGGAGUAGCGGUAAAA